AAAAAAAAAAAAAUAUAUAUAUAUAUAUAUAUUAUAUACAUGACACACGCAUCAAUAUAAUUUGUAUAUAUCGUAUUUUUUAUUAUACAUACAUAAUAAAUUAUUUUUUCGUAACACAUACAUACAUACACGCUUUCGAAAUAUAACAUUUUUUAUAUGUACACACACACACACACACACACACACACACAUACAUACAUACAUACAUACACGUAAGUUAACACAAUUUUUAUUUUUUUUAAAAACAACUUUCUGUAGAUGCAGAAAAAGAAAUCAAAGUGAAUCAAAAAAACAAAAUCGAUAAUUUUAUUACGGAAAAAAAAAUCCAAGGAAUAAUUUCUACAAGUAAAUUAACUAACAAAGAAAUAUCAAAAACAAAAACUAUUGAGGAAUUAAUGGAUGAAAAUUCUUAUUCUAGUAAUAGUGAGGAUAAUGAUAAAAUUGUUUUAAAAAAAAGAAAAAAUAAAGAUUCUUCUGAGAAAAUAUAUUAUAACAUAGGGAAUUUGCAAGAUAGUAGUGUACAGCUUAAAAGAAAAGCAAACAGUAGUAUGUAUGAGCAUGAUGUGGAAAGUAGAGAAUGUAUUAAUAGUAACAAUAACAUUUUUAGUAAUAGUAAUAAUAGUAGUAUUAGUAGUAAUAGUAAUAGCAACAUGCUUAGUAGUAGGCAGAACAACAUGUUGAAUAAAAAUUGCAACAUGCACAAAAUAACAAAAAUGAAAAAUUUUUUUUUUAGCGAUAAAAAUUUACAGAAGAGAAAAGAUAACGAAAUGGAGACCGAACAGGAAGUUGAUUUGAAGUUGAAUUCUUUGGAUCGUGUAGAACAUACAGAUAUUGUCGAAUUUGGUGACAAACAAAAGAGGCGUAAAAUAAUAGAUGAAACGUUGAAUUAUAAUAAUAAUAAUAGUGAUAAUAAUAAUGGUGAUAAUAAUAAUAAUAAUGGUGAUAAUAAUAAUAAUAAUGGUGAUAAUAAUAAUGGUCAUAUUUCUAUUAGUACUAAUUCUUACACAAAUGAUGUAAAAAAUGUUAUUACAAACAGUAACAGCAUAACUGCAAUUAAUCUGAGCACUGAUGUGAUCGAUAUAGAACGAGACUUAAUCACAUCAACAUAUACUACAAUACCAAAUAGUGUGGACGUAACAAAAAAGGAUGAUAAACUAAGAGAAAGUAAUAAAACAGUAAGCGAUGGCAAUAAAACAGUAAGCGAUAACGUUGAUGUAAAUAUAAACCCUAACUUUUUAAUGAACAGAAAUGAUGACAUAGUAGUAAGCGAAGAUACGUGCUUAACAAAUGUAUAUGUAUAUGAUAUUUGUCAGCACCGAAAUAGUGUUAUCUUAUUUGGUAGAACAUAUAGUAAGUUAAAAAAGUAUAGAAGUAUAAGUAUAUAUAUCGAAGAUUUAGACAGGUGCUAUUAUUUUUUAUUAAAUAAAAAUAAAGAAUACAAAGAAAAUGAUAAAAUUAUUACAUAUGGAGAUGAAAAAUAUAAAAUGUA
rnacentral:lncRNA from 1 species